rnacentral:lncRNA from 12 species
AUGCCCGCGUGUCCUGAGGAGUUUUGGGGUCCCUUUGGGCCCCCCUCGGGAGCUGAUCCCAGUGUGUGUCCUGAGGAGUUUUGGGGUCCCCUUCGGGAGCUGAUCCCAGUGUGUGUCCAGAGGAGUUUUGGGGUCCCUUUGGGAGCUGAUCCCAGUGUGUGUCCGGAGGAGUUUUGGGGUCCCUUGGGCCCCCCUCGGGAGCUGACGCCCGCGUGUCCCCGCAGCUCCGUGUACGAUGGGGAGGAGCACGGGCGCUUCAUGGAGAAGUUGGAGGCUCGGAUCCGGAACCACGACCGGGAAAUUGAGAAAAUGUGCAACUUCCACUACCAGGGCUUCGUGGAUUCCAUCACCGAGCUGCUCAAGGUCCGCGCCGAGGCCCAGAAACUCAAGAACCAAGUGACCGACACCAACCGGAAGCUGCAGAACGAAGGGAAAGAGCUGCUCCUGGCCAUGGAGGAGCUGCGGCAGUGCCGGCUGCAGCAGAGGAACAUCUCGGCCACGGUGGACAAGCUCACCCUGUGCCUCCCUGUGCUGGAGAUGUACAGCAAGCUGCGGGAGCAGAUGAAAUCCAAGAGGUAAAUUUGGGCUGGGUGGGGUUUUGUGGGAAGAGUCCAAGGAAUUGUUUGGUGCUGGGUAAUCGAAGGGGAAUCUCAGCAGUUCAAAACCAGCAUUUCCAGGUGAAAUUUCCUGGGUUUUGGCUGCUUUUCAGUGGGAACACAAAUGUCAGGGUUUUUCAGUGAUGUUCAUUUGUUUUCUAUGACCAAAGGCUGUUUAUCCCCGAAAUUCCAGCUGGAAUUGCCCAGGAUUUUCCAUGGAUGUGCCAGCUAAAAUUCCCUUAAUUCCCCCUCAGAGUGAUU